UACAGAGGGUGCGAGCGUUGUUCGGAAUUAUUGGGCGUAAAGGGCGCGUAGGCGGUGCGGUAAGUCACCUGUGAAAUCUCCUGGCUCAACUGGGAGCUUGCAGGCGAAACUGCCGUGCUGGAGUGUGGGAGAGGUGCGUGGAAUUCCCAGUGUAGCGGUGAAAUGCGUAGAUAUUGGGAGGAGCACCAGUGGCGAAGGCGGCUCACUGGACCGGUUCUGACGCUGAUGCGCGAAAGCGUGGGGAGCAAACGGG
rnacentral:rRNA from 1 species